rnacentral:rRNA from 1 species
UACGAAGGGUGCAAGCGUUACUCGGAAUUACUGGGCGUAAAGCGUGCGUAGGCGGUUUGUUAAGUCUGAUGUGAAAGCCCUGGGCUCAACCUGGGAAGUGCAUUGGAAACUGGCUUACUAGAGUGCGGUAGAGGGGUGUGGAAUUCCCGGUGUAGCAGUGAAAUGCGUAGAUAUCGGGAGGAACAUCUGUGGCGAAGGCGACACCCUGGACCAGCACUGACACUGAGGCACGAAAGCGUGGGGAGCAAACAGG